GCCACCGCCCUGUCCUCCCGUCCUCAGCGUUGCCUUCCCCUCCCUCUUUCCCACUGACGCCUUGAAAACCCUUAUUUGCGCAUUCACUCACGCUUGAGGGUUAAAAGAUUAAGAGUUUCUCUAACCACGGCUACCCUCUAAAAGUCACAUUUUCCCCCUUUUUCCAGUCACUCUCUGAAAGAGAACAAAGUAAUUUUCUGAAGGGAAGCUGCAGAAUAUGGAAAACAUAUAUUGGAGCUACAUGGAUAGAGGAUCACAUGAAGCCAAGAGUUGAAGACCAGCCUGGGUAACACAGUGAGACCUCCUCAUCUCAAAACAACCCAGUGUGGUGGUCCAGCAUGGGUGACAGAGACCCAUCUCUAAAAUUAAUAAACAAAUAAAUCUCUA
rnacentral:lncRNA from 1 species